UCGGUACCAAAUCGAGGCAAACUCUGAAUACUAAGUGAACAGUUAACCAGUAAGACUGUGGGGGAUAAGCUUCAUAGUCAAGAGGGAAACAGCCCAGAUCACCAGCUAAGGCCCCUAAGCGUGUGCUAAGUGGAAAAGGAUGUGGGGUCGCAUAGACAACCAGGAGGUUGGCUUAGAGGCAGCCACCCUUGAAAGA
rnacentral:rRNA from 1 species